AUGGUUAAUAUAACAGAACCGCUCUGGUUAUAUUCGAGCACUCUACAUAACGAUGAAUAUGAAUGUGCCUACUUUAAUCUUACAAAAAAGCUCAAUUGCACGCCACACAGAUGCUAGUAUGAUUACGAUUAUCACUUCACCUGUGGCCAUAAGAAAAAGAAAAUGAAAGACAAUGCGACCCUCGAGGAGCAGUGCCCAAUGCACCCUAGUGUUCCCUGCUUGCUAAAACGACAAACGAGACCAAAAACAGAGAAGUUACUAAUGUAUUGGCACAGGACACACCAUUGUGGUGUUUUUAAAGCACUCGGGCUGUCAGAUAGACCAGAAUGUGAAUUACUCGCAUGGGACAGUACAAUGGAGGAAUUCAAGAAAAUACCAACUGCGCUGCUGUAUUGUGAUACCGAAUUUUACAAAUAUUGUAACGGAAGCCAGUAUACCCAAUAUGUAUACUACAGGGACGACUGCACAACUAAUGAAAGAUAUCUGGCUGCAUCAUAUGAAAGUCGAGCUAAAUAAAUUUCUGUUUCUGGAGU